UACAGAGGGGGCAAGCGUUGUUCGGAAUUACUGGGCGUAAAGGGCGCGUAGGCGGCCUGCUAAGUCGAACGUGAAAUCCCCGGGCUCAACCCGGGAACUGCGUCCGAUACUGGCAGGCUUGAAUCCGGGAGAGGGAUGCGGAAUUCCAGGUGUAGCGGUGAAAUGCGUAGAUAUCUGGAGGAACACCGGUGGCGAAGGCGGCAUCCUGGACCGGCAUUGACGCUGAGGCGCGAAAGCUAGGGGAGCAAACGGG
rnacentral:rRNA from 1 species